UACGUAGGGGGCAAGCGUUGUCCGGAAUCAUUGGGCGUAAAGAGCGUGUAGGCGGUCCGGUAAGUCGGUUGUGAAAGUCCAGGGCUCAACCCUGGGAUGCCGAUCGAUACUGUCGGACUAGAGUUCGGAAGAGGCGAGUGGAAUUCCCGGUGUAGCGGUGAAAUGCGCAGAUAUCGGGAGGAACACCGAUGGCGAAGGCAGGUCUCUGGGCAUUAACUGACGCUGAGGAGCGAAAGCAUGGGGAGCGAACAGG
rnacentral:rRNA from 1 species